UAGGGAAUCUUCCACAAUGGACGCAAGUCUGAUGGAGCAACGCCGCGUGAGUGAAGAAGGUUUUCGGAUCGUAAAGCUCUGUUGUUGGUGAAGAAGGAUAGAGGCAGUAACUGGUCUUUAUUUGACGGUAAUCAACCAGAAAGUCACGGCUAACUACGUGCCAGCAGCCGCGGUAAUACGUAGGUGGCAAGCGUUGUCCGGAUUUAUUGGGCGGAAAGCGAGCGCAGGCGGAAUGAUAAGUCUGAUGUGAAAGCCCACGGCUCAACCGUGGAACUGCAUCGGAAACUGUCAUUCUUGAGUGCAGAAGAGGGGAGUGGAAUUCCAUGUGUAGCGGUGGAAUGCGUAGAUAUAUGGAAGAACACCAGUGGCGAAGGCGGCUCUCUGGUCUGCAACUGACGCUGAGGCUCGAAAGCAUGGGUAGCGAACAGG
rnacentral:rRNA from 1 species